UACGUAGGGGGCGAGCGUUGUCCGGAUUUAUUGGGCGUAAAGAGCUCGUAGGUGGUUCGCUAAGUCGGAUGUGAAAUCUCCAAGCUCAACUUGGAGCGGUCAUUCGAUACUGGCGUGACUUGAGUACGGUAGGGGACCACGGAAUUCCUGGUGUAGCGGUGAAAUGCACAGAUAUCAGGAGGAACACCAAUGGCGAAGGCAGCUCGCUGGGACGUGACUGACGCUGAGACGCGAAAGCGUGGGGAGCAAACAGG
rnacentral:rRNA from 1 species